rnacentral:rRNA from 1 species
GAGUUAAGUAUGCUGAGUUUAUAGGGGCGAAGCUCUCUGAAAAUUAUUUUUAUUUAAGCUUUAUGCUUUAGUAGAGUUUACAUUGCUAAUCUUUUAAAAGUGUUUUAUAAUUAGGUAGUGUUUUGGAUUUAAUGUAGUACCCCUAUUUUAGUAAAGACUUCUGUUUUCUUAGAAAGUAGUAUAGAAUGAGUAUUUGAGUUAAGCAUUUGAUCUUAUGAUAAGUGGCUGUAUUGGUGUAUAUUUCGAUAAAAAGAGGUUUAAUUCUGGUUUCGGGUUGGUUGUGCUAGGCUGGUCUUAGAGGAGACUAGGAAUGGCGUUUAGGUGUAGUUUCACUACUGGUAAGAAAAGUGGAGAUUUUGAUGGUGAUUUACAAAGAAGGAACUCGGCAAAUUAUUUCUCCGCCUGUUUAUUAAAAACAUGUCCCUCAGUUUAAAAAUUAGUAAUGGGGGUCGGGCCUGCCCGGUGCCGAGAGGUAAACGGCUGCGGUGAAUAGCCGUGCUAAGGUAGCGUAGUAAGUUGUCUCCUAAUUAGAGAAAGGAAUGAAUGGUUUGACGUGGGAAAGACUGUCUCCUUUGUAAACAAUGAAAUUCACUUCGUGGUGAAAAGGCCAUGAUAUUUGUAAUAGACGAGAAGACCCUAUCGAGCUUGGAUUGUUGUAUGGGGUAAGUAUUAUACAAGAAGUUUUACUGGGGCAGUAGAAGGUUAGAAAGUAACUCCUUUAUACGUUGGAAGGAUCCUUGUGUUGAUUAGGCGUGUUGUGUAGCUCAUUAAAAUUAAUUGGGCUUUGGCUGUUCUCACUUCGCAAGAAAAAAAGAAAAAGCUACCGUAGGGAUAACAGCGUAAUCCGUUAAGUGAGGUCUUAUUGUAGAACGGGUUUGCGACCUCGAUGUUGGAUUUGGGUUUACUUGCAUGGUUGCAGGCG